rnacentral:tRNA from 1 species
GGGGGUAUAGCUCAGCUGGGAGAGCGCUUGAAUGGCAUUCAAGAGGUCAUCGGUUCGAUCCCGACUAUCUCCACCA